rnacentral:rRNA from 1 species
ACCCGCCGAAUUUAAGCAUAUCAUAAAGCGGAGGG